CUACUUUUAAUUGAAUGAUACACUUGAUUGGAUUUUGGAGUGCAUAUUUGCUUUAAAAUACACCACAAAUUUUUUCCCGUGGCAAUGCAUGGCCAUGUUUGCUAUAAUUAGAAAAUACAAUUAUUGCAUCAGCAUGACAUCAUGGUGACAUCAACAAUCAACAUUGAGUUUGACUAGUCAAAGUAACAGCUCGGCCCCACGUGUCAUAGAUACAGGGCCAAUCAAGAGUUAAAUUAGUUUAAAAUGGGUUAAUUAGC
rnacentral:lncRNA from 1 species